UUCAAUCAAAGUGUCGAUGUAGUGCAGGAUUCAAGAGGAACUUUGACACAUGUGUUGCAGAUAAUGGAGGUGCCACGAAAACCCUGACAUUUGCAAUACUGGCAAUUCCUUUAGUGCUGGCGAUGAGAGAGGCAUUUGGAUUGUUUAUGUAGAGUUCAUAAACAUUUGUUUACAUAAAUGUAAAGAUAUAUAAAGAUUUUGAACAUUGUUACUGAUGUUACACUUCGAAUCAAAUUUUCAAGGAUCGAAUGUGUUGAUUUUAAUUUAUUCUCAGCUGUGUGAUUUUUUCUGUU